UGGUAGAGGCGCGGCAUUUAUCAGUACACUGUGCUUGUUUGACAGACAGAAUGAAAAGCACAGCCGAAAGGAAACGCCGCCGAAACGCAAAAGCCGAUUGUCUUAAGGGUUUUGCGUUGGGUUGCAGCAGAAUAUGCUGCAAACUGUCACAUGCAUCAUGUGAAGCGCUUCCAU
rnacentral:ncRNA from 1 species